rnacentral:rRNA from 1 species
CGAUGAGGCAGCGAAAAGAAAUAGAGCCGACAGUGCAUUUUGUAUUGYCGUUUUCAAUGGGGGAUAUUUAAACCCAUCCAAAAUCGAGUAACAAUUGGAGGACAAGUCUGGUGCCAGCACCCGCGGWAAUUCCAGCUCCAAAAGCGUAUAUUAAUGCUGUUGCUGUUAAAGGGUUCGA